GACAAAUUUUCAGAAAGACAAUUAACGAGUAAUGAGUUAACUUUGGAGAAUUCGUGGGACGGAUUCUACUGUGAAUUGUUAAUUUCCGUAACGAAGUAUAAGGUUAACUGGACGCUCUCGAAACAACCGGUGCUUACACGCCCAGGAAGCAGGAAGGAGAAGAAGGAUGCAACGAUAAAAUCAUUCGAGUCGUUGCCCGAAAACGGGCAGUCGAAAGCACCAGGAGACUUCGUGAGAGAUGCAAUCAUCGCGACGUUUCUAAAUUACAGCAACAACACAAAUCAAAUGAAAACUUGGCAGAGUAUCGUGUUCGAUUCGUAUUCUUAUAAAACGCAAUACAGGGUGCGCACAUUCCCAUGACAGGAAGACUGAAAUUAGGUUUCCUGCCGAGUGCACGAACCGAAAGAUAAUUCCUUUCCAAGCUAUACAAAAUCGUACGAACAAGGAAUUAUUUUUUUUUUCUUAUCACACUAUUCAUUCCUGUUCUUUUCCGGAAUAAGUUUUACGGAUAUUAAAGGAUAGGCCAAAUCUACGAUUGGAAACUUUUCCAUCAAAAAGUUUAUUCAUUAUAAUCAGGAUUAUCAGUUUUUCUCAAGUUCUAUUUUAAUCUAGAGAGAAAUUUCGUUGAAGAAAUCGGAUCCUCUAUAAUUGGAAUGAAAUUUCUGCAGUAACAAAGUAUUCAUUGAAGGAAGAGGAACGAGAAUUUUCGCAAUCUUUUAACAAGUUUUAAGUCUAUUAUCUUUUGCACGAGAAUUUAGUAAGUAAAAAUUAAUUAAAAUUUUAAAAAAUUUAUAAUUGUCGGAUUAAGAUCUAUUUGUUUAUUCACUGUUGUUUUCUUAUAAAGUAUUAUAAAGUCAUUUUGCAUUCAUCAUCGUAUCUUAAAUCAUACCUUUAUAUAAUGAUUUCGAACAAGGGUUAAGACAAUAUCGAAACUGAAUGAACUUUAAUAGCGACUACUAUGAAAGUUCAACUUCUCAUUUAUAUCGUCCGGAUGUACGGUUGAAGCCACCUUCGUGGCAUUCCCCUUCGUUCUAUAUUCAUAUCCGUAGUAAAGUAACCAGUUAAUGUUAAUGAGCCGCCAUCAAGAUGGAAAAUUAAGAAGAAUCCAAAUGUCGAUUGAUUUCAAUUAUAAUUUCAUUUUUAUAAAUUGAUUUUUCUUCUCGGAUAAAGAUUGCAUCAUAUAAAUUAACCAAAAGUGUAUUCUUUAUAAUAAUUAUGUUAAUUUGAUUUAUAUUUUUCAUUUUCUUAAUUAAUAAAGGCUAAUUUUGAAAAAUUAUUUACUUCUUAAUGUAUCUAAAAUAAAAUUAGUAUAAAAGAAAACUCAGAAGAAUUAUAAAAUCAUUUAAUGAUGUAAAGUAAUUUCAUAAAAAGAUUAUCUUGUCAAGGAAAUGGAAUUUCUAUCUCAAAGAUUAUCUAAACUCUUCUGAAGGUAUAAAAUAUAAUCUCCGGUCUGGACUUUUCUAAGAAUUUCCUAGCAUCAUCAAAUAAGAAUAAAACUUCAAAGAACAUUAACAUUAACAUUAUAGAAAAAACUUUUUUCUCAAUCAUU
rnacentral:lncRNA from 1 species